CUCGCAGGUGCUGCCUUUACCCAUGACAUGGAAGUUACAUUCUACCCGGGAGAGGAGAGGGUUCGUAUCACUCAAACUGCUGAGGGACUUGACCCAGAGAACUAUCUGAGCAUUAAGACCAACAUUCAAGGCCAGGUGCCUUACUUCCCAGCAAAUUUCACAGCCCACAUCUCUCCCUACAAGGAGCUGUACCACUACUCGGACUCCGCUGUGACCUCUACAAGUUCCAGAGACUACUCUCUGACUUUUGGUGCAAUCAACCAAACAUGGUCCUACCGCAUUCACCAGAACAUCACUUACCAGGUGUGCAGGCACGCCCCCAGACACCCAUCCUUCCCCACUACCCAGCAGCUGAACGUGGACCGGGUCUUUGCCUUGUAUAAUGAUGAAGAAAGAGUGCUUAGAUUUGCUGUGACCAAUCAAAUUGGCCCAGUCAAAGAGGAUUCAGACCCCACUCCGGUGAAUCCUUGCUAUGAUGGGAGCCACAUGUGUGACACAACAGCACGGUGCCAUCCAGGGACAGGUGUAGAUUACACCUGUGAGUGCGCAUCUGGGUACCAGGGAGAUGGACGGAACUGUGUGGAUGAAAAUGAAUGUGCAACCGGCUUUCAUCGCUGUGGCCCCAACUCUGUAUGUAUCAACUUGCCUGGAAGCUACAGGUGUGAGUGCCGGAGUGGUUAUGAGUUUGCAGAUGACCGGCAUACUUGCAUCUGUGAGUUCCAAAAUCAUUUUCCUAUGUGGCCAAAAUGGUGCUCUUUAAUCUUGCUCUUUAAUCUAUCAAUGUUUUGACUUGUGCUAUUCAGAGGCUCUG
rnacentral:sRNA from 1 species